rnacentral:rRNA from 1 species
GACGAACGCUGGCGGCGUGCUUAACACAUGCAAGUCGAACGGAAAGGCCCUGCUUUCGUGGUGUUCUCGAGUGGCAAACGGGUGUGUCACACGUGUGUAACCUGCCCUUCUUUUUGGUAUACCUUCAGGAAUCUGGGGCUAAUAUCGUAUAGCAGCUCCUUCUGCGUGGUGGGGGUUGGAUAGUUUCGGCUGUUGGGUAUGGGCUCGCGGCUUAUCAUCUUGUUGGUGGGGUAGUGGCUUCCCAAGGCCUUGACGGGUCGCCGGCAUGAGAGGGUGGCCGGCAACAUGACGACUGAGAGACGGAGCAGACUCCGACGGGAGGCAGUAGGGGGGAAUAUUGAACAGGGGGAGGAAGGAUGAAGCAGCGACGCCGGGGGGGUGAUGACGGCCGGCGGGUAAAAAACCGCUUGCGAUUGUGACGAAGCGGGGGUGACGGUAAUGGGAGAAGAAGCACCGGCUAACUACGUG